rnacentral:rRNA from 1 species
GAUGAACGCUGGCGGCGUGCCUAAUACAUGCAAGUCGAGCGAACAGACGAGGAGCUUGCUCCUCUGACGUUAGCGGCGGACGGGUGAGUAACACGUGGAUAACCUACCUAUAAGACUGGGAUAACUUCGGGAAACCGGAGCUAAUACCGGAGAAUAUAUUGAACCGCAUGGUUCAAUAGUGAAAGACGGUUUUGCUGUAUCUUAUAGAUGGAUCCGCGCCGCAUUAGCUAGUUGGUAAGGUAACGGCCUACCAAGGCAACGAUGCGUAGCCGACCGGAGAGGGGGAUCGGCCACACUGGAACUGAGACACGGUCCAGACUCCUACGAGAGGCAGCAGUAGGGAAUCUGCCGCAGUGGGCGAAAGCUUGACGGAGCAACGCCGCGUGAGUGAUGAAGGUCUUCGGAUCGUAAAACUCUGUUAUUAGGGAAGAACAAAUGUGUAAGUAACUAUGCACGUCUUGACGGUACCUAAUCAGAAAGCCACGGCUAACUACGUG